CAGAUUCGUUUCCACUGUGCCACAACAGGAACUCCCUGGUGUUUGUAGUAUUAUGUGCAUUCACCUAACAACACAAAAUACUUUAAACAAAGCAAUCAUAUAUUAAAAUAAAUUCAUUAAAAUGUUAUUUUAAAAUUAAAUUUUAAAUAAAUAACCCUAUUUUUGAGAUUCUAAAAUUGCACUGUGGAAAUUUUGAAAAAUGCAGGAAAUAAAAAUCACCACAACCAUCCCACUCAGAAAUAAUGUUUCAAGCAUUUUCUUGCCAUUUCUUUAAUGCACGCUCAUAAAUCUACAUAGAAAUGCAUGGGCAAAAUUGGAUCAGGCUGGUUAUAUGGUUUUCUACAUUGCUUUUUUCUUCUAACACGAAGAUGUACGCUUUUCCCCCCUGUAUUGUUAAAUAGCUUUCAAAAUCAUGAUUCUUAAUGGUUGUAUAAUUUCAUCAAAUGGAUGGAGGAUGAUUUAUUUAAACACUUCUUGGCUGCUAGAAAUUUAGGUUGAAUUGCAGUAACUUUUCAAUGAGAAAAAAAAAAAAACGAUGCUAGUUAUUUAUGAGGCAACAAUGAUUUCUCUCCCUGCAUGGGCAGCCAGCAAUAAAAGUCAGCCGCACAAUCUGGUAUGUGAUGAAAGGUCCAGAAAUGGCCAGGAGAUGGAUGGCGAAAUUGUGAGAGAUGAAGUGAGUUAUUAGUGUUUAUUAUUUAUAUGGUACAGUAAAUAUAUACAGCUCAGGACCGAGCAUUCACUUGUCAGCAACUUGCAGCCAGUCAACGGUCCCUCAGAGCCUGGGCAUGCCUAAAUCUACAAAUCAAGGCAGACCAUUAGGGGACAUGGUGAGUCAGCCAUUCCUGAUGGAGGGGCUCCUACUGGACCAUCUCAGUGCAAGUAUGUUUCCUUUGCCUGGGAUGACUUUCAUUUCCAAGGAAAACACCUACAGUCUCCUGACAACUUGAGAGGGAGAAGAAGAGGGAGAGGCAGGGUGUAUGGGAGGAGGAAGGAUGGAAUAUUUCCUUUGUAUUUUCCACAGUUUUGCCUCCUGGGAUAGCAGCUCUCCAUGGGCACACCCCCACCCUUACUUAUUAAUCCAAGAGUCCUAACAAAUGAGAAAGGCUCUCGGCUCAUAUACACAAGGUAGAGAUUAUUAUCUCCAAUUUACAGGUAAAGAAAUAAAGUCAAAGCAAGGUGCAGUGAUUCAAGAUUUCUCUUUGCAAAUGACACACUCAAACUCAAUGACUAAAACUCAAGACCACAAGUUCUAUGUCUACAGAGGCACUGGAUGUCCCUGGAUGUCCUUCGGGGAGCUCUAUCCAGAUCCCUGGUUUCACCUUUUCCAGCUCCUUAGGCUUAGUUCAGAUGUUUGUGAUCUUCAGCACUUUAUGAAUUCUGCAGCAGAUGGGCGAGGGCCAGGUAGCGGGCGAGAACAGACUGCAUAAGGCAGGCUGGCACUCUGACAAGGGCAGCCCCAGCUGUGGUUCGGGUGUUAUUCAGCACGGCCACCCACUGCACCAGCAGCCUGCCUUCCCGAGCUCACGGCCACGGCCGCCUUAAUGAAGAGUGGAGAUGAGAAAACUGAAGACAAAGAAUACAAAUGAUGUGUCCCAGAUUGCAGGCAGUAAGGGCGGUCUGAAACUGAACCCGCAAGAGCUCGGAGGUGAAUGCCUGCCGUAUAAUUGCUUCAAAAUGUCUUUGUUCAGCUGGAAAACGAAGGUCCAAUAAGGAACGACCAUCGAUGGAACCAGCCCUAGAACUGGAGUUGGCUGAUUGCUGCCGGAGCCCCUCGCUCUAUAAGGGGACCAGUGUGUCCCCAGCUUAAGGGUCCCACCAGAUAGCAAGUGAACUUUCUUGAUCUUGCUUGUGCAUGUUUUACAAAUGUUCUCCCAUCUGUAGGGCCUUGACACGACAUGUCCUGUUGAACCUUCUCACCAAUACCCUUUCCCACCGCCCAUCUCCUCCAAUGGCUCCUUCACAUCUCAGAUCAGGUGUCAUUGGCUGUCUUCCCUGGAUGCGCGUUUUGGCUGUUAUCAUGGCUAUGACCACAUGAUUAACGUGUGCAAUCCCACUCCCAUCCCCAAACUGUAAGCUCCAUGAGGACAGGGAGUGGGUGUCCUUUUUUUGCUCAGCCUUCCAUUCACAGCACUUAAUAGACACUCAAGAAAUAGUUAUGAAUAAAUGAGUAGUUGAAUGAAUAAAUGAACAGGCUUUAUGGACCAGCACCUGCUUCCUCACCAUCCAAAGAUCAGCUGGUUGGAGGCAGAGGGAGGGCUGGAAACUCAAGAGGGAAGGGCUGUUUGGAAAUUCUGGGCCUUUGAAAUGACAGCUUUUUAUUAAUGAACGUGUUCUGUGACUGUUUCCCUUCCUUUUCCUCACCACCCCCGACCUCCACCCCUUUGUCCUGUAACUGGAGGCCCUACCCUUCCUCUCGCACUGACAGAAUGGAGUCUUCCUUAUGCCGAUGAAUGAAGUAACACUUAAUAAGAAGCAAGCAGGCCAGAAAGAGUCAAAUGAGAAAGUUGGCAGCUCUGACUUCCAGGGACACCUGCAGCCAUGCAGAGAAGUUGUAGAUCUCCCUCCAGCUGGUGGUCACGGAGAGGAAGGACUCUGUGCUGGUCAGAGAAGAGACUUGGUGGAGCAGGUACACCAUUCAUCUGCAAGGAAGGAAAAGAAUGAAGAUGUAAUCAAUAAUAUUCCUACAGAGCUCCAAGUCCACCAAGUUCUCCUAGUGUGGAAGGCAGUAAUUUGUUCCCUGAUAUAUGGGGAUUGCUUUUCUUCAGUAGCCGAGACCCAAUCAGUCUUCAGAGGUGGUUGUAAUUAAUAGGGAGUUCCAGCUGAGAUGGAUCCUUCGGCCUGCAGCCUUAGAAUGAAAAUCACAGCCUUGUGUCUGAUUUAUGCCAAAUGGUAUUUCCUUGCUCGACUCCUAGUGCCUGGGAGUGUCGUUAAAGAAUCGCAGAGCGAAGUAAGGACCAGAUAAAGGGAAGGCAUCCCCUCGCCUGCACAUCAACACCAUUAAACGCGUUGUUACAACAACGACCGGAGCUGUCUGAUGAUAUCAUCGGUGGCAACUGUGGCCAUAGGAAACCAAUACUGAUUUCAUGCAACCUGAAGAAAAGACUGGCAUCCUCCUGCAUUUGAGGACUUCUGAUCAAUAUUGAAUAUAAAUUUGUUCACAAAUAAUUUUUCACUGCUAAUGACAAAAGAAAUAUAUCUGAAUGAGUUUUAAACAAUUUUGAAACAAAUGGGCAGAAGAUCUAAACAGACAGUUCUCCAAAGAAGACAUACA